rnacentral:lncRNA from 1 species
GGAGAGAGGCAGUCCAGCCGCAGGGGCCACCCGAACAGUCUCUCCUCCUCACAGAAGCCUGGAGCUGGGCAUCCAAGAAGAAGCAGCCUCAUUUGUUUUCUGGUGUCAUCGUAGGUGGCCACCUAUGGCUUUUGGGCUUCUCACCUGGGGCGGGUGGGUUCUGCACCACCCUCCCACCCUCCUUCCUCCGUGUGGACGAUAGAGCCACAUCCAGCACCACGGACAGCUCCCGGGCGAUCCCAUGGGAGUAGAAGAGGUGUGAGCAGGUUGCCCAGCUGGUUAGCGGAAAUGCCAAGAUCCAGGCUCCUGAAUUUCAGCCUGGCCCUUUCUAUCUGUCUGAUACCUCCUUUACGAGUCUCUCUGCCUGCGUUGUGUGGAGCGGGCCUGCUGCUGGUUGGGGGAGUUUGCAGGUUGCCCCUAUGCAAAAAAGGACAGGAUGCAUGACUGGCAUGUAAGGUGUUCAGGAAAACCAGGAAAAGACCAAAAAGAAGAAUGUACUUCAUCUGGUUGGGCUGGAUUCCCUCUGAUAAGCCUUCCCAGUUGACUGAAAGAUGAGGCUAGGCUCUAGCAAGUUGAAGUCAAACCAGCUCCUUCAAGAAGCUUUGAGCAGAAUGAAGUGGGGAGGACCCAGCUUCCAGCCCAGGAAGCCCACUGUACCUGGAGCCAUCUGGGAUAAGACUUUGACCCAUGACUCCCAUAUCCACAGCCUGUCCAUCCUAGCCCAUCCCAGUUUAUCCUGUAUCAUUUGAGCUGGGAUUCCCACAUCCUCUGAGUUGGAAGUCCCAUCUCAAGUCUUCAAUAAAGACUCUUGAAUAUUGAAUCACAUUAA